GUGAAGCGGCAACAGCUCAAAUUUGAAAUCUGGCCCUCGUGGUCCGAGUUGUAAUUUGUAGAGGAUGCUUUUGGUGCGGUGCCUUCCGAGUUCCCUGGAACGGGACGCCAGAGAGGGUGAGAGCCCCGUACGGUUGGACACCUACCCUAUAUAUAGCUCCUUCGACGAGUCGAGUAGUUUGGGAAUGCUGCUCUAAAUGGGAGGUAAAUUUCUUCUAAAGCUAAAUACCGGCCAGAGACCGAUAGCGCACAAGUAGAGUGAUCGAAAGAUGAAAAGCACUUUGAAAAGAGGGUUAAAUAGCACGUGAAAUUGUUGAAAGGGAAGCGUUUGCGACCAGACCUUCUCCUGGCGGAUCAUCCGGUGUUCUCACCGGUGCACUUCGCCUGGUUUAGGCCAGCAUCGGUUCUUGUAGGGGGAUAAAGGCCUGGGGCACGUAGCUCUUCCGGGAGUGUUAUAGCCCCUAGCGUAAUGCCCUUACGGGGACCGAGGACCGCGCUUCGGCAAGGAUGCUGGCGUAAUGGUCGUCAACGACCCGUCUUGAAACACGGACCAAGGAGUCGAACAUUUGUGCGAGUGUUUGGGUGUUAAACCCUCACGCGUAAUGAAAGUGAACGGAGGUGAGAGCCCUUCGGGGUGCAUCAUCGACCGAUCCUGAUGUCUUCGGAUGGAUUUGAGUAAGAGCAUAACUGUUCGGACCCGAAAGAUGGUGAACUAUGCGUGGAUAGGGUGAAGCCAGAGGAAACUCUGGUGGAGGCUCGCAGCGGUUCUGACGUGCAAAUCGAUCGUCA
rnacentral:rRNA from 1 species